rnacentral:rRNA from 1 species
GCUGGCAGCUAGCUCUCUGCAACUCUCACAUGGUCACCCACUGAAGCUAAGCAGGGCUGCGCCCGAUCAGUACCUGGAUGGGAGACCAGAUGGGAAAGCUAGGUUGCUGCCAGAA